UCUGUUUUACCUGGAGAUGUGCGCUCACU
rnacentral:piRNA from 1 species